GGGAGACACACGGCGGGUGCUAACGUCCGUCGUGAAGAGGGAAACAACCCAGACCGCCAGCUAAGGUCCCAAAGUCAUGGUUAAGUGGGAAACGAUGUGGGAAGGCCCAGACAGCCAGGAUGUUGGCUUAGAAGCAGCCAUCAUUUAAAGAAAGCGUAAUAGCUCACUGGUCGAGUCGGCCUGCGCGGAAGAUGUAACGGGGCUAAACCAUGCACCGAAGCUGCGGCAGCGACACUAUGUGUUGUUGGGUAGGGGAGCGUUCUGUAAGCCUGCGAAGGUGUGCUGUGAGGCAUGCUGGAGGUAUCAGAAGUGCGAAUGCUGACAUAAGUAACGAUAAAGCGGGUGAAAAGCCCGCUCGCCGGAAGACCAAGGGUUCCUGUCCAACGUUAAUCGGGGCAGGGUGAGUCGACCCCUAAGGCGAGGCCGAAAGGCGUAGUCGAUGGGAAACAGGUUAAUAUUCCUGUACUUGGUGUUACUGCGAAGGGGGGACGGAGAAGGCUAGGUCGGCCGGGCGACGGUUGUCCCGGUUUACGCGUGUAGGCUGACUUUCCAGGCAAAUCCGGAAGGUUAAGGC
rnacentral:rRNA from 1 species